UUUUCUAUACUGUAUUUCAUGUUUAUUUUUUUUCUUAUCCUCUUGCUAGUUUUUCAGUCUCUGAGCUAGAAGGAGUUGAAAUUGUUCAGGACUGAAUGAGGAGAUAUAAUCUAGUCUGCCUGAGACUAGUUAGGAAUUCGUGAGCGUGGAACAGCUAAACAUGGAACAUAACGAGUAGAGAGGAACAGUCCCACUCUGCGUAAUUCUUUUCCAGUCACCCUGACAACGACAGAGCUAAAUGGAUAUGUUCUGCCAGGGGAUGAAUGGAGUGAAGUUUCUUCUCAACUUCAAGACAGCUUGCAAGUGCUUUGCCUCUAUUUCUGUGACCAAAAUCACCCCUGUACCACACUACUGAUUUCUAAUGGCCAUCAAAGUCUUGCUCGAACAAAGGUGUACAGUAGACUGGUAAAAUCUACACCUGAGAGGGAGCAGAUGAGGAAACGGCACAGGAUUACAAUUGCUGUCACAGAGAAAGUAUUUAAGCUAGAAACUGUGAGUGAAAGAGGUUUGACAGAAAGGAAAAAUGAAAUGUAGAUCUCACAUCAGGAAAGAAGAAAUACACAGUAAACAACUUCUUGAGGACACCAAAAUGUAAUAAGCAAUUUCUAAUAUGGUUUGUUUGUACAUUUUUCAUCUUCUUUUUAUUACAAUUUUGGUUAUGAUUUAGCUUCCAGGCCAUUCCUUCCAUAAAAUCCAGA